GAUGAACGCUGGCGGCGUGCCUAACACAUGCAAGUCGAACGGAGUCCAGCCUUUAAGACCUUCGGGUCAAAGAGGGGAAGACUGAGUGGCGGACGGGUGAGUAACACGUGGGCAACCUGGCUCAUAGAGGGGGAUAACAGAGAGAAAUUUCUGCUAAUACCGCAUAAGCACACACUGCCGCAUGGCAGAGGGUGAAAAGAGAAUCGCUAUGAGAUGGACCCGCGUCUGAUUAGCCAGUUGGCAGGGUAAGAGCCUACCAAAGCGACGAUCAGUAGCCGAUCUGAGAGGAUGAACGGCCACAUUGGGACUGAGACACGGCCCAAACUCCUACGGGAGGCAACAGUGGGGGAUAUUGCACAAUGGGGGGAACCCUGAUGCAGCGACGCCGCGUGAGUGAAGAAGUAUUUCGGUAUGUAAAGCUCUAUCAGCAGGGAAGAUAAUGACAGUACCUGAAUAAGAAGCCCCGGCUAACUACGUG
rnacentral:rRNA from 1 species